GGAGUCUAGCAUGUGCGCGAGUCAUUGGGACUUUUGCGAAACCUAAAGGCGAAAUGAAAGUGAAGGCGCGCCCGUGCGCGCGCCGAGGGAGGAUGGGUCGUGCAGGGUCACGGCCCCGCACUCCCGGGGCGUCUCGUUCUCCGCACGCGCUCGUCGCGUGCGCGAGAUGAGGCGCACCCAGAGCGUACACGCUGGGACCCGAAAGAUGGUGAACUAUGCCUGGUCAGGACGAAGUCAGGGGAAACCCUGAUGGAGGUCCGUAGCGGUUCUGACGUGCAAAUCGAUCGUAAGAACUGGGUAUAGGGGCGAAAGACUAAUCGAACCAUCUAGUAGCUGGUUCCCUCCGAAGUUUCCCUCAGGAUAGCUGGCUCUCGGAGGAAAGGGAUCGGGAGGCGGGCGUUCACGCGUCCCCUCCCGUUUUUUUACGAGUCUCAUCCGGUAAAGCGAAUGAUUAGAGGCAUUGGGGUCGAAACGGCCUCAACCUAUUCUCAAACUUUAAAUGGGUGAGAUCUCCGGCUUGCUUGAACGGUGAAGCCGCGAGAUCGGAUCAGAGUGCCAAGUGGGCCAUUUUUGGUAAGCAGAACUGGCGCUGUGGGAUGAACCAAACGUGGAGUUAAAGCGCCUAAAUCGACGCUUAUGGGAUACCAUGAAAGGCGUUGGUAACUUAAGACAGCAGGACGGUGGCCAUGGAA
rnacentral:rRNA from 2 species